AAAGUACUCCCUCUGUUCGGAAUUACUUGUCUCGGAAAUGGAUGUAUCUAGAACUAAAAUACGUCUAGAUACAUCCAUUUUUGCGACAAGUAAUUCCGAACGGAGGGAGUACGUG
rnacentral:pre_miRNA from 1 species